UACGUAGGGUGCGAGCGUUGUCCGGAAUUAUUGGGCGUAAAGCGCACGUAGGCGGUGCGGUAAGUGUGGUGUGAAAUCUGCGGGCUUAACCCGCAGCGGUCGCUGCAGACUGCCCGUGAGCUUGAGGGAGCUGGAGAGGAAGAUGGAAUUCCCGGUGUAGUGGUGAAAUGCGUAGAUAUCGGGAGGAACACCAGUGGCGAAGGCGAUCUUCUGGUCAGCUACUGACGCUGAGGUGCGAAAGCUAGGGGAGCGAACGGG
rnacentral:rRNA from 1 species